rnacentral:rRNA from 1 species
UCCUUUUACACCCCCCAAGUCGAACGGAUUAAAGAGCUUGCUCUUUAGUUAGUGGCGAACGGGUGAGUAAUAUAUCGGAACAUAUCCGGAAGUGGGGGAUAACGUAGCGAAAGUUACGCUAAUACCGCAUAUGCCCUGAGGGGGAAAGCAGGGGACCAGUAAUGGCCUUUCGUCGUCGGAGCGGCCGAUAUCGGAUUAGCUAGUUGGUGAGGUAAAGGCUCACCAAGGCGACCAUCCGUAGCAGGUCUGAGAGGAUGAUCUGCCACACUGGGAAUGAGACACGGCCCAGACUCCUACGGGAGGCAGCAGUGGGGAAUUUUGGACAAUGGGCGAAAGCCUGAUCCAGCCAUGCCGCGUGAGUGAAGAAGGCCUUCGGGUUGUAAAGCUC